rnacentral:rRNA from 1 species
AUACGGAGGAUGCGAGCGUUAUCCGGAUUUAUUGGGUUUAAAGGGAGCGUAGGUGGGAUAUUAAGUCAGCUGUGAAAGUUUGGGGCUCAACCUUAAAAUUGCAGUUGAUACUGGUUUCCUUGAGUACGGUACAGGUGGGCGGAAUUCGUGGUGUAGCGGUGAAAUGCUUAGAUAUCACGAAGAACUCCGAUCGCGAAGGCAGCUCACCGGGCCGGAACUGACGCUGAUGCUCGAAAGUGCGGGUAUCAAACAGGAUUAGAUACCCUGGUAGUCCGCACAGUAAACGAUGAAUACUCGCUGUUUGCGAUACACAGUAAGCGGCCAAGCGAAAGCGUUAAGUAUUCCACCUGGGGAGUACGCCGGCAACGGUGAAACUCAAAUGAAUUGACGGGG